AUGAGAAACCUGGCUAUUUGGCCAAGAUGGCUCAGUUCAGCAACGAAGUCAAGUCCCUACUUACCUGUUAUUUCAUUGUCAGGAACUCAGCCACCACCUGUCCUAUGUAUUCUCAUCCAGGAACAGUUUGAAAACCGGGUUGAUAAAACUGGGGAAAGGGAAAGAAGCCACGAGAAUCCAGAAGUUGGAAGCAUCACUGGACACACCAGGCAGGAAUCCCCCACCAAUCACCUGGGGAUGAUGCUCUCUCGGCCCAACCCACAGGGGUGCACUGACAGGUUUUAAUUUUCAGGAUGAAACAUAAAGUCCGAGGAAACCCUCAGCAUAAUCACUUGGGGACUCAUGUUUCCACAGCAAAGACACCAGUCCUGAACUUCUCCUUUCAGAAUUCUUGGGUAACUGCACCAGCAUUUGUUCUCCAGCAUGCAUGUCAGCACUUUAGAGCUCGAAACCUCCCUGCUGUGCCCUGUUCCCACUCUCUGGAUGCACCUGCCAUCUGUUAGCAUGGCUUCUCUAUAUGUGGGAUUCAAGCAAUACCAGAGCUUCUACCCUCGCUCUGCUUUCCAUCACCCUGGACAUGUGCCAGUCCUCUUUAGAUCUAUUUAAUGGUUAGUGGAACAACCCAAGAACUCAUGUCAUGCUGGAGGGUCCGUGACUCUCAUCACAUGAGGCCAGCUAUGACAACUCCUUGCACAGGACCGAAGCUGGAGUUCAGACUUUAUGAGUCCAAUGUUGGUACCACAAUCCCCAUAGGGUAAAUAGAGUCACCAAAUACAGACUAAAGUUUAAAUUGCAGGGAAACUGGGUGAUGUUCACCUAGCCUCCUAGUACAAUGGUAGUUGGAGGUCUGUCCUACUAAUCCUCAUUACCAGAAUCAUUCUUCACUCCAUGAUUGAUGUGUAGGAAAGUACUUGUAUACUGUGAAAAACUACCCAAAUCAAUGGUCAUGAUUAACUGCACUGCACAGACAAAUACUGAUAAUGUAUUAGGAAGAUGAUGAAUCACAUUUCUGUGAUCUUGAGAUCUGUAAAAGAGAAAACAUUUCAGGCAUGAUAAAGAAUCUGCGACUUGGAUUUACACGUAUGCACUUAUUGAAUCCUCACAUAAGCCUGCUACUCAUGGAGUACUUACAAUUUAACAAGAGACAAGAGCUAGGGUCAGUAAGCUUUAUUUAAAGGACAGUAUGAGGUGUCUAGAAAAUGACAGAGCUACAACUUAAGUUUAGCUCUGCCUGUCUCUGAACCUCCAACCCCUAGCCAUGCUGAUCUUUUUUUUUUUUUUAUAAGAGUGGUUCAUUUUUUUAAAUUUUAUUUUUAUUUAUUCAUGAGAGAGAGAGAGGCAGAGACACAGGCAGAGGGAGAAGCAGGCUCCAUGCAGGGAGCCCAACGUGGGACUCUAUCCCGGGACUCCAGGAUCGCCCUGGGCCGAAGGCCGCGCUAAACCGCUGAGCCACCCGGACUGCUCGCCAUAUGCUGAUCUUGAGGGCUAGAUGUCAGACCCAGAUUUUUCCCGAAUGUGUCACCUCUCAGGUCACACCCAGAGACUCCGGCCUCUUAUCACACCCUCCUCUCCAACCUCUUCACAGCUGACCCCCACAUGCAGUUUCUCUCAACCCAGGGGACUCUCUGGGGGAACUGACCCAACCCUGUAAGUCAGCACCUCUCCUCAGUUCCGAAUCAGUCUCCUCCAUGAGGAUAACCCUCAGCCUUUCUGACUUCUAAGCACCUCCAUCCCAGACAACAAGAAUAUCUCCCCUGCUAUGGCUGCAGCUAUCCUAUCCUUAACUGUGUUUUAUAAAUAUCUGGCAACCCCAUAGGCCUUGAUAGUUAAUCAUUCUUCCUGCUUUGUAACAUUUUGGACAUUCCCCUUGUCUUUUGAAUCUAGGAAAUGCUCAUCUAUCUCCUUACCUCAGAAGGGCUCCUGUCCUAUCUCACACUUGAAGAAGUCCAUCUGAAGCAAGGCUGCAGCUCCCUGCCAUGAUGCUACAUAUUCCUGCAUCUCUCCUCACUAGUGACUACUUUCCUGUUUAAAUUCAAAGUCAAUGGGGCGCCUAGGGGGCUCAGUGGUUGAGUGCCUGCCUUCAACUCAGGAUAUGAUCCUGUGAUCCUGGGAUCUAGUCCCGCAUUGGGCUCCCUGCAAGGAGCCCGCUUCUCCCUCUAUGACUCUGCCUCUCUCCGUGUGUCUCAUGAAUAAAUAAAAUCUUAAAAAGAAAUUCAAAAUCAAGUCUAUGCCUGGAUUAAGUUCAGGUUCUCAAAGGUAUCCCCUUCUUUCUUGCUCUCUGGAAAACUAAUUAUUGACUAGUAAGUAACUGCCAAACUGCAUCGUAUUUUUUAAAAUUUUAAUCUUUAUUGAACAAUUUUCCAGAGGGAGGGGCAAGGUGGUGGAAGAGUAGGGUCCCCAAGUCACCUGUCCCCACCAAAUUACCUAGAUAACCUUCAAAUCAUCCUGAAUAUCUACGAAUUCGGCCUGAGAUUUAAAGAGAGACCAGCUGGAAUGCUACAGUGAGAAGAGUUCGUGCUUCUAUCAAGGUAGGAAGACGGGGAAAAAGAAAUAAAGCAGCAAAAGGCCUCCAAGGGGGAGGGGCCCGCGAGGAGCUGGACUGAGGCCGGGGCGAGUGUCCCCAGGACAGGAGAGCCCCGUCCCGGAGGAGCAGGAGCUGCACCGACCUUCCCGGGCGGAAAGGGGCUCCAGGGAGGUGGAGCAGGACCCAGGAGGGCGGGGAUGCCCUCGGGCUCCGGGGACAUUAACAGACACCUGCGCCCCGGGAGAGUGCGCCGAGCUCCCUAAGGGCUGCAGCGGGCACGGGGGACCCGGAGCAGCUCGGGGGGGGCUCGGGGGCGGCUCCGCGGAGGGGGCUGCGGGGCGGGAGCGAAUCCAACAGCGCAGGCCCCGGAGCACAGGGCGCCGGGACACAGCCCAGGAUCCGGCCUCCCCCCGGGACAGGCAGAGGCCGGCCCAGGACAGCGAGGACGCUCCUGCCCGGAGCUGAGCAGAUCAGCGGCCCCGCCCGGAGCUUCCAGGCCCUGCAGACGGAGAGCUCCGGAGUUCCUGCCGGAGCUGAAUCCAGGGCUCCAGAGCUGGCCCCGCCACCGGGGUUGUUCCUCCUGGGGCCUCACGGGGUAAACAGCCCCCACUGAGCCCUGCACCAGGCAGGGGGCUGAGCAGCUC
rnacentral:lncRNA from 1 species